UCACUCUGGAAUCUCCUCAAAGCGAUUAAAUCUUUCGCCUUUUACUAAAGAUUUCCGUGGGGAGGUUCAACUUAAAUGAGUCUAAAAAAAAUUUUUGUCUGCCCGGUUUAUAAUUACUGGGCG